GGUCAAUGCAUUGUAAAAUCUUCCUUCUCUUUCCACUAGUGGUAGUUAAUGUUGUAUCAUGGGACAUCAGAUCCACUACAAGCUGGAGGCAAGUCAACCCUGGGUGAUUGAAGUAUGGGAGAUCCAGAGCAUGAGGAAAGUCCCCCGUGUUCAGCUCUAAUAUCUUUUACUGCCAACUUGAUUCCCAACGUCUGAAGGGAGAAAGUUGGCUAUCCAUCAUCCUGACAUUUAUUUCAAAACCAAAGGUUCAACCAUCUACAGUAAAGAAACAAGCAAUGAAGAAAUAUGCCACAGAUGAGCACAUGAUAAAACAGCCACGAAGGUCUUGGAAAAGAAAAAUGCUGUAAUGUGUCCAUAAAACAACAUCCACAAGAUGCUGGGAAAAAAUAAUUAAUGCUAGGAAAUGGAAAAUGAGAGCCAGUUUGGUCUAGACAUUAAGGCACCAGCCUAGAAAGCA